rnacentral:lncRNA from 1 species
CUGGAACACUGGGAUAUCAACCAGCUCACCAGGAAUCCUGUACCACUGUUUGACCACUCUCAGGAUAACAGAGCUUCUCCUAACGUGCAGUCUGAGCCUCCCCUGGCCCAGCUCUGUAGGAAGACUGCAGAUUCCUGCUUCUAAGUUGCACAGCUGUUGCAGUAAAUUGAGUCAUUUUUUGAGUCUCUCUAUUGCUAAAUGAGAGUUUUGCAAAACACGCUUUGCCUGCUGGAAGAAUACAGAAAUUAACUGUAAACAUAGCUUUGAGUGAGAAGAAGAGAAUCGCUGCAGUGCAACAGAGAAGAAAUAAGAUAGGCAGCAGACCUGCAGCAGCAAGAGAAGCAGAAGGCAAACAGGUGCCUGCAUGUUCUAGUCUGUUCUGUUCCCAUGUUUUGAGGAAGAUGGGUCCAUCUACAAAUGGAU